GUUUAUUGUUUAUAGGAAAGCAGGCAAGAGACAAAUACAAGCACAGUGUUCUGAGGCUAGCCUGUUUGAGCUGAAGAAGAUAUCAGAGAGGAAGAGGAAGAAAUGCCAGGCAAAACUGAAUAUUGUCUACAAUCAUUGUUAAGUGAUGCCUUCAGAGGGAAAGGAUUUCAGAAAAUAAAUGUAAUGAUACAAGAAAAAGACAAAUAUGUCCCUCAGAAGUGUAAGAAACAAUUAUUAAAUCAACUUGACAAAGCUCUAAAAAAGGAAUUGGACAAAAAUGAAUUUUCGAAUGUUUCCCUACUGUUGAAAUGCAUUCAGCUGUACUGUAGAAGUGAUUCUCCGGAAAGUAUAAAACUGCUUCUUCAGCAAGGAUUGAUACC